rnacentral:rRNA from 1 species
AGAGUUUGAUCCUGGCUCAGGAUGAACGCUAGCUACAGGCUUAACACAUGCAAGUCGAGGGGCAGCAUGAACUUAGCUUGCUAAGUUUGAUGGCGACCGGCGCACGGGUGAGUAACACGUAUCCAACCUUCCGUUUACUCAGGGAUAGCCUUUCGAAAGAAAGAUUAAUACCUGAUAGUAUGGUGAGAUUGCAUGAUAACACCAUUAAAGAUUUAUUGGUAAACGAUGGGGAUGCGUUCCAUUAGGUAGUAGGCGGGGUAACGGCCCACCUAGCCGACGAUGGAUAGGGGUUCUGAGAGGAAGGUCCCCCACAUUGGAACUGAGACACGGUCCAAACUCCUACGGGAGGCAGCAGUGAGGAAUAUUGGUCAAUGGGCGAGAGCCUGAACCAGCCAAGUAGCGUGAAGGAUGACUGCCCUAUGGGUUGUAAACUUCUUUUAUAAAGGAAUAAAGUCGGGUAUGCAUACCCGUUUGCAUGUACUUUAUGAAUAAGGAUCGGCUAACUCCGUGCCAGCAGCCGCGGUAAUACGGAGGAUCCGAGCGUUAUCCGGAUUUAUUGGGUUUAAAGGGAGCGUAGAUGGAUGUUUAAGUCAGUUGUGAAAGUUUGCGGCUCAACCGUAAAAUUGCAGUUGAUACUGGAUAUCUUGAGUGCAGUUGAGGCAGGCGGAAUUCGUGGUGUAGCGGUGAAAUGCUUAGAUAUCACGAAGAACCCCGAUUGCGAAGGCAGCUUGCUAAACUGUAACUGACGUUCAUGCUCGAAAGUGUGGGUAUCAAACAGGAUUAGAUACCCUGGUAGUCCACACGGUAAACGAUGGAUACUCGCUGUUGGCGAUAUACUGUCAGCGGCCAAGCGAAAGCAUUAAGUAUCCCACCUGGGGAGUACGCCGGCAACGGUGAAACUCAAAGGAAUUGACGGGGGCCCGCACAA